UGCAGAGAAACAUGCUUGUUUCUGCCUUUCCCAAGGGGAGACCCUGAAGCUCCAGCAGAGCAGUGCCAAGAGGAGACACUGGGAAAGGGAGAGCUCAUGCGUGGAGGAGAUGAGGAGAGAGGUAGCAGGACAAAAGGAGUUCUUAGAUUAUCAAGCCUUUACAGACCAGUCAAGUGAUCUUAAUACAAAAUGGGAUUGAUUUCUGAGGGCUUUCCUCAGGUCUCUGGUAUUGACUGUUUACCCAUGUUCUCCCUUCCUGUUCAGACACAGCCAUGCCAUGGCCUUAAAAUUGGGUUACAGGCCAGGAAGAGGAGAUGACCAUAGGACUGACAGAGCGACACAGACAAUUCAAACAGCCUGCAACAGCUGAAGGGACAAAGAAGACAAUCUUUUUGCCUCAGGAUGAAUUUGCCAUGUCCUCUUCCUCCAUUCUUUCAUUCUGAGUUAAAGGAAUGCUCCUAGCAGUGCACUGCCUGUGAAAAGAGGUUGUGCUGACUGCCCAGCAGGCACAUAUGCUUGUUUAAAGUUCUGUUGGGAAGAAAGUUUGCAGACAGUGCAGUGUGAUCUGUUGCAGUCUGAACAUGCAUCCACAAUGUGCAUCUGAACUUCUCCCCUCAUCCCUACCCCUUACUAGUGAAAACUGACCCUCCAAAAUGGAAAUGUUUUGGGAAGUGGAAGAAAUGAUGAAUAAUUUAUUGAUUUAUUUUUGCGAAGUUCUUGUAUAUUUUUAGGGUUUAAAAAUAUAAAGGGAGUCAGUCCCAAAUUGGUUCUAGUGAGUCUUCAAAUGCUCACUGCUAAAUCUUUUCCCAUUGAUGCAUGGAAAAAAAU